AAUAUUGGACAAUGGGCGAAAGCCUGAUCCAGCCAUGACGCGUGUGUGAAGAAGGUCUNCGGAUUNUNAAGCACUUUCAGUGGGGNGGAAGGGCAGUAUGUUAAUACCUUUUUGUUUAGACGUUACCGAUAGAAUAAGCACCGUCUAACUUCGUGCCAUCAGCCGCGGUAAUACGAAGGGUGCAAGCGUUAAUCGGAAUUACUGGGCGUAAAGCGCGCGUAGGUGGUUCGUUAAGUUGGAAGUGAAAGCCCCGGGCUUAACCUGGAAACUGCUUUCAAAACUGACAAGCUAGAGUAUGGCAGAAGGUAGUGGAAUUUCCUGUGUAGCGGUGAAAUGCGUAGAUAUAGGAAGGAACACCAGUGGCGAAGGCGACCACCUGGGAUAAUACUGACACUGAGGUGCGAAAGCGUGGGGAGCAAACAGG
rnacentral:rRNA from 1 species